GAUGAACGCUGGCGGCGUGCCUAAUACAUGCAAGUCGAGCGAACAGACGAGGCGCUUGCUCCUCUGACGUUAGCGGCGGACGGGUGAGUAACACGUGGAUAACCUACCUAUAAGACUGGGAUAACUUCGGGAAACCGGAGCUAAUACCGGAUAAUAUAUUGAACCGCAUGGUUCAAUAGUGAAAGACGGUUUUGCUGUCACUUAUAGAUGGAUCCGCGCCGCAUUAGCUAGUUGGUAAGGUAACGGCUUACCAAGGCAACGAUGCGUAGCCGACCUGAGAGGGUGAGCGGCCACACUGGAACUGAGACACGGUCCAGACUCCUACGGGAGGCAGCAGUAGGGAAUCUGCCGCAAUGGGCGAAAGCCUGACGGAGCAACGCCGCGUGAGUGAUGAAGGUCUUCGGAGCGUAAAACUCUGUUAUUAGGGAAGAACAAAUGUGUAAGUAACGAUGCACGUCUUGACGGUACCUAAUCAGAAAGCCACGGCUAACUACGUG
rnacentral:rRNA from 1 species